CGCGUCGUCCAGGAUGUCGCCCUUGAGGGCACCACCCUUGCUACCUCGAUGCCACCGCAUCCAAAGGUCGAUUUUUUCAUCUGUUCGUCCGCGAUUGAUCUCCAUUACUCAUGUUAAUUAGCACUAAGCUGAAUUAGAGCGCUGUUAGCAUUAGGGUUAUUUAGAGCCAUGUCAGCGUUAGGGUUAAUUAGCAGCUACGGCUUAAUCAUAAUCUGGAUUCCGUUAGUCUCCUGUUUAGCAGCAUUAGACCUCCAUUAGGCCUCUCUAACUUAUCUGUGCAGGUAGCACGUAUGGUCUGAUUUGCUACAUAUAUUUGCAUCUCCUUUUAUCUGUGCAAUCAGCACGCAGAAUUUUCAAACUGUGUUGGCAACAUUUUAGAAAGCUGUUAGGGCUUAGAUAGAGGAAAUCAAAAUUGAAGCAGGUUAGGUUUUUAUAUACAAAGGUAAACCUGAACAUUGAGAUUAUGUCUUCAUUUUCGGUUCAUGCUGCAAUUAACUUCUUUCUACCGGUGCUUCCAAGUACAAAUUCAACAAUCAAAGGCCUAAUUUCUAUUACUGUGGUGUUCGUUUGCACACUCACUUUAUGUACCUAGUUGCCUUGUUCUGUUCUGAUGCUUGAAUUAUACUUUGCUCUCUUUUUUAUAACCAAAUUUUGCACUCUUUUGCUCAAGAUUUUAAUAUUACAGGAGUGUUCAAGUUGUGUACACAUAUUCUGGUAUUCUGUAUGCCGCAGUUGUUUACAAACUACAUAUUUGCUGUACUAGGUACUGUCAUGAUGAUGAUGAUUUGCUACGACGUUUCAUUUCCUAUACUGAUAUUUGAUUUUCUGAAAUUGCAAGUUUUGGAAGCCUGUGAGCAUAGGACGCUGGUACCUUUUGCUGAGAGCUUCUUCCAUGCUCUCGACUUGCAUUUCAACCAGUUCAUCCUUCCCCUCCGGCCUUGCUGUCGUGUGAUGGCGGUGAAUUCAUCGCGCCGCAGCCGUUGCUGUCUUCGUCACUAUGGUUUAGGGUCCUGCCGGGUUCAGGUGUCAUGUCAGAUCACUGGACUCUUGCGUUUGAGACCAUCUUGGUAGCUGUUAAGACUGCUGUAUGGUCUUGUGGCGGCAAUGCCCGGCCUCGGCGACAACCUCUCCGCCAGCUUCUGCGGGUGAUGGAGGAUGUCCUGGUCACCGGCAUCACCCUGCUCCAGUAAUCCCACCAGCAGAUGGCAUGCGGCGGCGCUGGUAAUCGAGGAUGAGGUGCUGUUCUGGCCUGGAGAUGGGCUGGCUGGUAUGUGCAGCUUCGCUGACCUUGUUACUAGUGCCCUUCUGCACUUGGCAGCUGGCCGGCAGAGCCGUUCUUGGUUUUUUGACAAGGGAACUACCUGUUGCAUGAUUCUGUAUUGUUCGUGACGUGUAGCUGCAUGUUGCAUGUUUCAUAUGGUACCUACAAAAUAUCAUAUUUGUUCAUAAAUUCUUCUAAAAGUUUGGUCAAACUUUACUUCGUUUGACUUUCUGAAAAAAAAUAUAGGCCUUAAGCCUUGGGAUGGAGGUAGUACAUUGCAGUGACCUUUGUUACCUCCAAGCGUGCUUGAAUUCGAAUGUUGUCAGUUUGAAUGCUUUUAGUUCAUUUGUUCUUUGACCUGGUACUUGCUUUGAUUAAAAUCAUGCUCUUUUGGUUGUGUAGUAGCAUGUAGAUGUACGGUUCCUGCAUUUUAGUCGAAACCCUCUGAAUUUAUAUAAUGCUUGCUGAAUUGUCUAUGCUGACUAUCUGGUUUUGGUCUUGUAGGAGGAUAUCAUGGAGGAUUAAAUGACAGGACCAGGUAGCUGGGUCCCGUAAACUUCCUCACUCAGUGGCACUAUAUGCGGAAAGCCGUCCUGGCUCCUGUGGUGCUCCUGCAGCUGCUGUGCUGGACAGAGGCGGCAUAUGUUGAAGUUCCUUGUAAUGUUUAGUGAUGGGCUCGCGUUGCAGCAUCCUUUUGAGCAUUGUGUAUGAUCAAAAGGGAAGAGAGGUCAUGCAGAAAUUUUCUCAAAUCUUGAAAUCAUUGUUUAGCUAUGAAAUAGAGAGGAAGUUGUCAAAUUUCUAUUCUUUGAUCCUUCAAGUUUGCAGCAGCUAGCUAGCUAACUUCAAAAUCUCAAUGGUUUGAUCGUUAGACUUGCAUCAACAAGUGCAGACUGACGUAGCUACCUAGGCCAGAAUGCACAUGCAGUUGCCGACCCUACUACUAUUACUUGAAUAGACGGUU